rnacentral:rRNA from 1 species
GAUUAGAUACCCUAGUAUAAAUAAUUUUAUUAAUUAGUAUAUAUAAAGAAAAUUAAUAAUAUUGGCGGUUAUCUGUUCAUUAGAGGAGCUUGUUUAAGAGAUAAGAAAAUACUCUUUGUAUCCUAGAUAUUUGGAGGUUAUUCAUCUCUGUUGUUAUAGUAGAUUGAUUGAUUAAAUUUUAUUUGAUAUUUCAGGUCAAGAUGUACUAUUAAUAUAGUAAAGAUUAGCUAUAAUUAUUGUAAUAUAAGAAUGGAUAUAAGGAUAAAUGUUAUACACAUAUAGAUGUAUCAUUGUACAAUAUUAGCAGGGAAAUAUACUAUAUUGAAUUGAAUUUAGUUGUAAUAAUAGCUAGAAGGCUAUUAUGAAUGUAGUAUGGUAGCGAACAUAUUGCCCGUCACUUCUAUUAGUUAAUAUAGAAUAAGUCGUAACAAAGUA